rnacentral:rRNA from 1 species
UCCUGGCUCAGAACGAAUGCUGGCGGCGCGUUUUAAGCAUGCAAGUCGAGGGGUAGGGUGUCUUCGGAUGCCUGAGACCGGCGGACGGGUGAGUAACACGUAGGUAAUCUACCUGAGGGUUGGGGAUAGCCCAUGGAAACAUGGGGUAAAACCGAAUAAGUCUUGCACCACAGAAGUGGAGUAAGGGAAAGGCGCUUAGGCGCUGCCCACAGAUGAGCCUGCGGUCCAUUAGUUAGUUGGUGGGGUAACGGCCUACCAAGGCGACGAUGGAUAGCCGGCCUGAGAGGGUGAUCGGCCACACUGGGACUGAGACACGGCCCAGACUCCUACGGGAGGCAGCAGCUAAGAAUCUUCCGCAAUGGACGAAAGUCUGACGGAGCGACGCCGCGUGGGUGAUGAAGGCGGAAACGUUGUAAAGCCCUUUUCCUGGGGAAGAAUAAGGCGGGGAGGUAAUGCCCCGCUGAUGACAUGAACCGGGGAAUAAGCCACGGCUAAUUACGUGCCAGCAGCCGCGGUAACACGUAAGUGGCAAGCGUUGUUCGGAAUUAUUGGGCGUAAAGGGCGUGUAGGCGGCUUUGUAAGCCUGGUGUGAAAGCCCGCAGCUUAACUGCGGAGACGCGCUGGGAACUACAAGGCUGGAGUCUAAGAGGGGGAACUGGAAUUCCAGGUGUAGGGGUGAAAUCUGUAGAUAUCUGGAAGAACACCGGAGGCGAAGGCGAGUUCCUGGCUAUAGACUGACGCUGAGGCGCGAAAGCGUGGGGAGCGAACAGGAUUAGAUACCCUGGUAGUCCACGCUGUAAACUUUGUGCACUAGGUGUUGGCCCUACGGGGGCAGUACCGCAGCAAACGCGAUAAGUGCACCGCCUGGGGAGUAUGCUCGCAAGGGUUGAAACUCAAAGGAAUUGACGG